AGAGUUUGAUCCUGGCUCAGAUUGAACGCUGGCGGCAUGCUUUACAUAUGCAAGUCGAACGGCAGCACGGGUGCUUGCACCUGGUGGCGAGUGGCGAACGGGUGAGUAAUGCACCGGAACGUACCCAGUAAUGGGGGAUAACACAUCGAAAGAUGUGCUAAUACCGCAUACGCCCUGAGGGGGAAAGCGGGGGAUCGUAAGACCUCGCGUUAUUGGAGCGGCCGAUGCCGGAUUAGCUAGUUGGUGAGGUAAGAGCUCACCAAGGCGACGAUCCGUAGCUGGUCUGAGAGGACGACCAGCCACACUGGGACUGAGACACGGCCCAGACUCCUACGGGAGGCAGCAGUGGGGAAUUUUGGACAAUGGGCGCAAGCCUGAUCCAGCCAUGCCGCGUGAGUGAAGAAGGCCUUCGGGUUGUAAAGCUCUUUCGCAAGGAAAGAAAACUUAUCUACUAA
rnacentral:rRNA from 1 species